CAAAUGUCACUGUUAAGGACGAGUUUGGGGUGUGAUACAUUGUCGACAUUUUGAAACGUGAUUUAAAUUAAUAAUUCACUGGAAAUUGUUUCAAUUACUCAGUAUUGUGUGUUCUGAUUAAAACUGUGUUUCAUUGGAAGCAUUUCGUGAAGAAAAGUGUUUUUGAAGCUUGACGAAGAACUCACGAAAGUACGAAGUAAGCAACGCGAUUAAACCGAGUGAAAAUCGGAAAAUAUUAUAUUAAAAUAAAUUGAUAGUACGCUUGCGCAAUGGCGGUCGGUGUUAACCAAAAAGAAGUGGCUCCAGCGUCCGGCGUGACGAAAAAGGUACCGAUGGAGCUGACGAUGAUGAUCUCUCAUAAGAAGAAAAUUAUAAAAGUUAAAUGUGUACAAAAAAUUUUUCACGGAUUUAAAGCUAAACCAAAUACAGUGUAACUCGUUAAGAGGACCCUGGAUAUAGGAUAAGUCUCUAUUUCUGUUAACUGUAAAGUCACAACACUUUUGAAUUGAAACACCUCAGUCACUGGGAUUAUGUAACCUUUACGACUGAGAUUUCCUUUGUUAGAUUUUUCGAUGUUUUCCGCAUUAAUUGGGACUUUUUCAGUGAAUAGACUCUCGACUAAGUGAGACAACUAUUAUCAAUUUAUCAUUUUGAAUAUUGUUCGGAACACGUCUAAACACAUUAAUUUUUCAUUUUAACACGGGCUUUGCAAGCUGGAGAUGGACUAAUGGCGACGGAAGUAAGCUCUACACACACGAGGACACGUCCACCACCAUCUGCGCAAAAACGAAACAUCCGAACACAAAUUUCUAGAAAUCUUAACAGUUUAUAUAAGUUAUGCUAAACUAUUUUUUACACUUGUAUUUAUUUACGAAUUGUUUAAUCAUUGUAUGUUUUAUAUUGUGUAC